rnacentral:misc_RNA from 1 species
GAUGAAGAACGCAGCAAAAUGCGAUAAGUAAUGUGGAUUGCAGAAUUCAGUGAAUCAUCGAAUCUUUGAACGCACAUUGCGCCCGCUGGUAUUCCGGCGGGCAUGCCUGUUCGAGCGUCAUUUCAACCCUCAAGCCCCCGGGUUUGGUGUUGGGGAUCGGCUCUGCCCUUCUGGGCGGUGCCGCCCCCGAAAUACAUUGGCGGUCUCGCUGCAGCCUCCAUUGCGUAGUAGCUAACACCUCGCAACUGGAACGCGGCGCGGCCAUGCCGUAAAACCCCAACUUCUGAAUGUUGACCUCGGAUCAGGUAGGAAUACCCGCUGAACUUAAGCAUAUCAAUAAGCGGAGGA